CCUACGGGGCGCAGCAGUGAGGAAUAUUGGUCAAUGGGCGCGAGCCUGAACCAGCCAAGUAGCGUGAAGGAUGACUGCCCUACGGGUUGUAAACUUCUUCUAUAAAGGAAUAAAGUGAGGCAUGUGUGCCUUCUGGUAUGUACUUUAUGAAUAAGGAUCGGCUAACGCCGUGCCAGCAGCCGCGUUAAUAUGGAGGAUCCGAGUGUUAUCCGGAUUUAUUGGGUUUAACGGGAGCGUAGGUGGAUUGUUAAGUCAGUUGUGAAAGUUUGCGGCUCAACCGUAAAAUUGCAGUUGAUACUGGCAGUAUUGAGUACAGUAGAGGUGCGGGGGAUUCGUGGUGUAGCGGUGAAAUGCUUAGAUAUCACGAAGAACUCCGAUUGCGAAGGCAGUUCACUGGACUGCAACUGACACUGAGGCUCGAAAGUGUGGGUAUCAAACAGGAUUAGAUACCCGAGUAGUC
rnacentral:rRNA from 1 species